rnacentral:rRNA from 1 species
GACGAACGCUGGCGGCGUGCUUAACACAUGCAAGUCGAACGGAGUGGCGAACGGGUGAGUAACCCGUGGGUGAUCUGCCUUGCACUUCGGGAUAAGCUUGGGAAACUGGGUCUAAUACCGGAUAGUGCAAGAUGAGCUCGCGGCCUAUCAGCUUGUGGGUGGGGUAAUGGCCUCCCAAGGCGUCGACGGGUAGCCGGCCUGAGAGUGUGUACGGCCACAGUGGGACUGAGAUACGGCGCAGAGUCGUACGGGAGGCAGCAGUGGGGAAUAGUGCACAAUGGGCGGAAGCGUGAUGCAGCGACGCCGCGUGGGGGAUGAAGGCAUUCGGGUUGUAAACUCCUGUCGACAGGGACGCGGUACCUGUAUAAGAAGCACCGGCUAACUACGUGCCAGCCGCCGCGGUAAUUC